rnacentral:rRNA from 1 species
AACGAACGCUGGCGGCAGGCCUAACACAUGCAAGUCGAGCGAGGACUUCGGUCCUAGCGGCGGACGGGUGAGUAACGCGUGGGAACGUGCCCUUUGCUACGGAAUAGCCCCGGGAAACUGGGAGUAAUACCGUAUGUGCCCUUCGGGGGAAAGAUUUAUCGGCAAAGGAUCGGCCCGCGUUGGAUUAGGUAGUUGGUGGGGUAAUGGCCUACCAAGCCGACGAUCCAUAGCUGGUUUGAGAGGAUGAUCAGCCACACUGGGACUGAGACACGGCCCAGACUCCUACGGGAGGCAGCAGUGGGGAAUCUUAGACAAUGGGCGCAAGCCUGAUCCAGCCAUGCCGCGUGAGUGAUGAAGGCCUUAGGGUUGUAAAGCUCUUUCGCCGACGAAGAUAAUGACGGUAGUCGGAGAAGAAGCCCCGGCUAACUUCGUGCCAGCCGCCGCUGUAAUAC